rnacentral:rRNA from 1 species
AACGAACGCUGGCGGCAGGCUUAACACAUGCAAGUCGAGCGCCCCGCAAGGGGAGCGGCAGACGGGUGAGUAACGCGUGGGAAUCUACCCAUAUCUACGGAAUAACGCAUGGGAACGUGUGCUAAUACCGUAAACGUCCUUCGGGAGAAAGAUUUAUCGGAGAUGGAUGAGCCCGCGUUGGAUUAGCUAGUUGGUGGGGUAAAGGCCUACCAAGGCGACGAUCCAUAGCUGGUCUGAGAGGAUGAUCAGCCACACUGGGACUGAGACACGGCCCAGACUCCUACGGGAGGCGGCAGUGGGGAAUAUUGGGCAAUGGGCGCAAGCCUGAUCCAGCCAUGCCGCGUGAGUGAUGAAGGCCCUAGGGUUGUAAAGCUCUUUCACCGGUGAAGAUAUUGACGGUAACCGGAGAAGAAGCACCGGCUAACUUCGUGCCAGCCGCCGCAGUAAGAC